GUUCAAAUCCGAUAGUCGGCU
rnacentral:tRNA from 1 species